GGGGGACGGGAUUAAGGGAAAAGGACAGACGAUGCGGGAGCGUGGCCGGCACUAACCCUUGGGACAGCUGCGGGAGCUAUCGGCCCGAGCUAGAGCUAAGCCCGCCGCGCGGGAGGAGGCGGCGGUGAGGCGCUGUGGUGUCCUGCUUGCCCUGGUAGCCUUUAUCCCUUCCUCCGUCCAUCCCACUCCAUCCUGCAUCCACCGGGCAAGGGCUUCCCUACCUGCCCGUCCAUCUGUCCUGCCCUACCGAGCACUACCGAGUAGGUGCUUCCGGCCUGGCAAGCGCCGUGCCCUCAGCUGGCGUGUGGGUGAGGAACGAUGAGAAUAUUCCAUUGUUGACAGUUGCUUGGUUAAAUAUCAUCUCCUAUAGAUAACAUUCUUUAAUCUCCAAAGAUGACAGCUGUUGCAGUGCUAGAGGAGGUGCUGGUGUCAAUUGAGAAUGAGCUGCAAGCAGUUGAGAUGCAGAUACAGGAACUUGUGGAUAAACAGCAGGAACUCCUUCAAAAGAAGACGAGAGUAAAGAAUCUGAUAAAACAGUCCUCAGGAGACUUGGAGGCAGGUGGAAGUAAAGAUACUGGAACCUCAGCUGAGGAAUGGAACAGAACAGAUUUUCCAUGGUAUGAGAAGCUAAAAACUGCACUGCAGAGCAAAUUUAAGCUCCAUAAGUUUAGAUCACUGCAACUUGAGACAGUAAAUGCUGCAAUGGCAGGAAAGGAUAUAUUUCUUGUCAUGCCUACAGGUGGUGGGAAGAGCCUUUGUUACCAGUUACCAGCUGUCUGUUCUGAUGGUUUCACACUGGUGAUAUGUCCUUUGAUAUCUCUCAUGGAAGAUCAGCUCAUGGUUUUGGAACAGCUUGGUAUCUCCGCAGCUUUAUUAAAUGCCUCAAGCAGCAAGGAACAUGUGAAGUGGGUCCACACAGAAAUGCUGAAGAGGGAUUCACAACUGAAGCUUAUUUAUGUGACCCCUGAGAAGAUUGCAAAGAGCAAAAUGUUCAUGUCCAAGCUGGAGAAGGCUUAUCAGGCUGGGUGCCUGGCUCGCAUUGCUGUGGAUGAGGUGCACUGCUGCAGUCAGUGGGGCCACGACUUCAGGCCUGACUACAAGUCUCUUGGUAUCCUGAAAAGACAAUUUCCCAAUACUCCCUUGAUUGGAUUGACAGCAACAGCUACCAAUCAUGUUUUAAAGGAUGCUCAGAACAUUUUACAUGUUCAGAAGUGCAUUACCUUUACUGCUUCCUUCAACCGACCCAACCUUUACUAUGAGGUUCGACAUAAGCCUUCAAAUAAUGAAGAUUUCAUUGAGGACAUAGUUAAGACCAUUAAUGGAAGAUACAAAGGACUGUCAGGAAUUGUUUACUGCUUUUCUCAGAAGGAUUCUGAGCAAGUUACUGCGAGUUUGCAGAAACUGGGAAUCAAGGCAGGGACUUACCAUGCAAACAUGGAUGCUAAAUAUAAAACCAAAGUUCAUAAAGGAUGGUCAACAAAUCAAAUUCAGGUUGUAGUGGCAACUGUUGCUUUUGGCAUGGGAAUUGAUAAACCUGAUGUGAGGUUUGUAAUUCAUCACUCUAUGAGCAAGUCCAUGGAAAACUACUACCAAGAGAGCGGACGUGCAGGUAGAGAUGACCAAAAAGCUGACUGCAUUUUGUAUUAUGGGUUUGGAGAUAUAUUCAGAAUCAGCUCAAUGGUGGUGAUGGAAAAUGUUGGCCAAGAGAAGCUGUAUGAUAUGGUAUCUUAUUGCCAAAAUAUGAGCAAGUGUCGCCGAGUACUCAUAGCCCACCACUUUGAUGAAGUGUGGGAUUCUGCAAACUGCAAUAGGAUAUGUGAUAACUGCUGUAGAGAGAAUGCAUGUGAGAAGAUGGAUAUAACAGGAUACUGCAGGGAUCUAAUAAAAAUCCUUGAGCAAGCUGACCGCAUGAGUGAGAAACUCACCCCACUGAAAUUAAUCGAUGCCUGGUCUGGGAAAGGUGUGUCCAAAUUCAGGGUGGCUGAAGUUACUCCACCCAAGCACCCUCGAGAGGAGCUGGAGAGAAUUGUUGCCCACUUACUGCUGCAGCAGUAUCUGAAGGAGGAUUUCAGCUUCACAGCCUUUGCUACAAUAUCCUACCUGAAAGUGGGACCAAAAGCCUGGCUGCUGAAAAAGGAGGGACACAUCAUCACCAUAGAAGGAAUGAUAAACAGCAGAAGUGUUUUCAAGGUCAAACCAUCUCAAUCUUCAAAUUCAAAAGGAAGCAGAGAAAAUGCCCAGACUGGAUCAAAGACUGUCCAAGAUUCAGUGAUGAAGAAAUCACAGGAACAUAAACGGCCCAGCUGUAGUCCUAACUUAAAAGCAAAAAAGCCUAAGCCUCAGGCAGAUGGAAAUGACCAGCCACUAGUUAUUGACUGAGUGUCACAUACUACAUUUAGGAUCUAAUAAUGGUCGCAGCUGCAUGGACAAUGCAGUAUGAAAAGUCAAGGAAGUCCGCUGCAGUUGGAUAAAUUCUUGCUUUUCAUCUGCUCCACCAAUAUCUUUCUACGUGACAGCUCCUUCCUAUAUAAUGGUGAGAUAGCUCACAUCAAAACAUUACAGAAAACAGAACAAAUUCUUCAGCAGAAAGAAUACAGGGAAUUAAUAUAAGUUUGGCACAAAGGGAACUUGGUUGCUCUUCGACAUCAAAUUCCUCAAGUGUUUUGGAGACCUGUAGGAGAAAGAGAGCAGGAAAGAUGUCACUGAAUCAGCAGCUUCUGGAGAAGAUAAAGCUCAAAGCAAUUCCCCAGAAGGCUAUCCCUUCUUUUGCUACUUGUCAGAAGGCUGUUUCUGCCCCAAAUUCAAACAUGAGCAAGACUGUGAUACCAUUUCAGUGCUUAAAAGAGGUCACUCACUAAUAAAGCAGUGAAAUAAAGCUUCAGUAACUCUGUCUGAACACACUUCAACCAUGUAAGUACCUGGUUUAACCUUUUCUUGAAUGGUGUGAAUAUGUUCACCAAUUACUAACCAUUAUAAAAUAGCUCAUCAGUCUUACUAACACCACUAUAAAAUAGCUCAUCAAUCCUUCUAACACCACUGCAAUCACACUAGUAUGAAACCAAGCUCAAAGUCAUUAACAUUUUCACCAUUGGGUUCUAAAUUAUCUGCACAUGUAAACUUUGAACAUGUCCUACUGUAAGAAAAAUUAACUCUUCUCUUACCUGCUUGAAAUUAGUUACAGCUUUUAUAACUGGGGAAGCUGUCAUUAAAAAAAUGUCUUCUGAUGGGAAUUCUGCAGCCAGCUUUGAAAGAAACAGCAACCAUGAUGAGAGUCAUCAUCAGACUUUAACACAAUAAAACUACUGGUGAAAAGCA